GGUGUCUUGGCUAAGGUGUCUUCGCUAAUGUGUCUUGGCUAAGGUGUCUUUUCUAAUGUGUCUUGGCUAAUGUGUCUUGGCUAAUGUGUCUUGGCUAAGGUGUCUUGGCUAAGGUGUCUUGGCUAAUGUGUCUUGGCUAAUGUGUCUUGGCUAAUGUGUCUUGACUAAUGUGUCUUGGCUAA